GGUUAAGCGACUAAGCGUACACGGUGGAUGCCCUGGCAGUCAGAGGCGAUGAAGGACGUGCUAAUCUGCGAUAAGCGUCGGUAAGGUGAUAUGAACCGUUAUAACCGGCGAUUUCCGAAUGGGGAAACCCAGUGUGUUUCGACACACUAUCAUUAACUGAAUCCAUAGGUUAAUGAGGCGAACCGGGGAACUGAAACAUCUAAGUACCCCGAGGAAAAGAAAUCAACCGAGAUUCCCCCAGUAGCGGCGAGCGAACGGGGAGGAGCCCAGAGCCUGAAUCAGUGUGUGUGUUAGUGGAAGCGUCUGGAAAGGCGCGCGAUACAGGGUGACAGCCCCGUACACAAAAAUGCACAUAUUGUGAGCUCGAUGAGUAGGGCGGGACACGUGGUAUCCUGUCUGAAUAUGGGGGACCAUCCUCCAAGGCUAAAUACUCCUGACUGACCGAUAGUGAACCAGUACCGUGAGGGAAAGGCGAAAAGAACCCCGGCGAGGGGAGUGAAAAAGAACCUGAAACCGUGUACGUACAAGCAGUGGGAGCCUCUUUAUGGGGUGACUGCGUACCUUUUGUAUAAUGGGUCAGCGACUUAUAUUCUGUAGCAAGGUUAACCGAAUAGGGGAGCCGAAGGGAAACCGAGUCUUAACUGGGCGUUAAGUUGCAGGGUAUAGACCCGAAACCCGGUGAUCUAGCCAUGGGCAGGUUGAAGGUUGGGUAACACUAACUGGAGGACCGAACCGACUAAUGUUGAAAAAUUAGCGGAUGACUUGUGGCUGGGGGUGAAAGGCCAAUCAAACCGGGAGAUAGCUGGUUCUCCCCGAAAGCUAUUUAGGUAGCGCCUCGUGAAUUCAUCUCCGGGGGUAGAGCACUGUUUCGGCAAGGGGGUCAUCCCGACUUACCAACCCGAUGCAAACUGCGAAUACCGGAGAAUGUUAUCACGGGAGACACACGGCGGGUGCUAACGUCCGUCGUGAAGAGGGAAACAACCCAGACCGCCAGCUAAGGUCCCAAAGUCAUGGUUAAGUGGGAAACGAUGUGGGAAGGCCCAGACAGCCAGGAUGUUGGCUUAGAAGCAGCCAUCAUUUAAAGAAAGCGUAAUAGCUCACUGGUCGAGUCGGCCUGCGCGGAAGAUGUAACGGGGCUAAACCAUGCACCGAAGCUGCGGCAGCGACGCUGAUGCGUUGUUGGGUAGGGGAGCGUUCUGUAAGCCUGUGAAGGUGUACUGUGAGGUAUGCUGGAGGUAUCAGAAGUGCGAAUGCUGACAUAAGUAACGAUAAAGCGGGUGAAAAGCCCGCUCGCCGGAAGACCAAGGGUUCCUGUCCAACGUUAAUCGGGGCAGGGUGAGUCGACCCCUAAGGCGAGGCCGAAAGGCGUAGUCGAUGGGAAACAGGUUAAUAUUCCUGUACUUGGUGUUACUGCGAAGGGGGACGGAGAAGGCUAUGUUGGCCGGGCGACGGUUGUCCCGGUUUAAGCGUGUAGGCUGGUUUUCCAGGCAAAUCCGGAAAAUCAAGGCUGAGGCGUGAUGACGAGGCACUACGGUGCUGAAGCAACAAAUGCCCUGCUUCCAGGAAAAGCCUCUAAGCAUCAGGUAACAUCAAAUCGUACCCCAAACCGACACAGGUGGUCAGGUAGAGAAUACCAAGGCGCUUGAGAGAACUCGGGUGAAGGAACUAGGCAAAAUGGUGCCGUAACUUCGGGAGAAGGCACGCUGAUAUGUAGGUGAAGCGACUUGCUCGUGGAGCUGAAAUCAGUCGAAGAUACCAGCUGGCUGCAACUGUUUAUUAAAAACACAGCACUGUGCAAACACGAAAGUGGACGUAUACGGUGUGACGCCUGCCCGGUGCCGGAAGGUUAAUUGAUGGGGUUAGCGCAAGCGAAGCUCUUGAUCGAAGCCCCGGUAAACGGCGGCCGUAACUAUAACGGUCCUAAGGUAGCGAAAUUCCUUGUCGGGUAAGUUCCGACCUGCACGAAUGGCGUAAUGAUGGCCAGGCUGUCUCCACCCGAGACUCAGUGAAAUUGAACUCGCUGUGAAGAUGCAGUGUACCCGCGGCAAGACGGAAAGACCCCGUGAACCUUUACUAUAGCUUGACACUGAACAUUGAGCCUUGAUGUGUAGGAUAGGUGGGAGGCUUUGAAGUGUGGACGCCAGUCUGCAUGGAGCCGACCUUGAAAUACCACCCUUUAAUGUUUGAUGUUCUAACGUGGACCCGUAAUCCGGGUUGCGGACAGUGUCUGGUGGGUAGUUUGACUGGGGCGGUCUCCUCCUAAAGAGUAACGGAGGAGCACGAAGGUUGGCUAAUCCUGGUCGGACAUCAGGAGGUUAGUGCAAUGGCAUAAGCCAGCUUGACUGCGAGCGUGACGGCGCGAGCAGGUGCGAAAGCAGGUCAUAGUGAUCCGGUGGUUCUGAAUGGAAGGGCCAUCGCUCAACGGAUAAAAGGUACUCCGGGGAUAACAGGCUGAUACCGCCCAAGAGUUCAUAUCGACGGCGGUGUUUGGCACCUCGAUGUCGGCUCAUCACAUCCUGGGGCUGAAGUAGGUCCCAAGGGUAUGGCUGUUCGCCAUUUAAAGUGGUACGCGAGCUGGGUUUAGAACGUCGUGAGACAGUUCGGUCCCUAUCUGCCGUGGGCGCUGGAGAACUGAGGGGGCUGCUCCUAGUACGAGAGGACCGGAGUGGACGCAUCACUGGUGUUCGGGUUGUCAUGCCAAUGGCACUGCCCGGUAGCUAAAUGCGGAAGAGAUAAGUGCUGAAAGCAUCUAAGCACGAAACUUGCCCCGAGAUGAGUUCUCCCUGACUCCUUGAGAGUCCUGAAGGAACGUUGAAGACGACGACGUUGAUAGGCCGGGUGUGUAAGCGCAGCGAUGCGUUGAGCUAACCGGUACUAAUGAACCGUGAGGCUUAACCUU
rnacentral:rRNA from 1 species